GACGAACGCUGGCGGCGUGCUUAACACAUGCAAGUGGAGCGACGAACCGGGGCUUGCCCCGGGGCAGAGCCGCGAACGGGUGAGUAACACGUGGGUAACCCACCCCGAUGACCGGGACAACCCGAGGAAACUCGGGCUAAUACCGGAUGUGCUCCUUGAUCUUGAGAUCAAGGCGUAAAGAUAGCUUCGGCCUUCGCAUCGGGACGGGCCCGCGGCCCAUUAGCUUGUUGGUGGGGUAACGGCCUACCAAGGCGACGAUGGGUAGCUGGUCUGAGAGGACGAUCAGCCACACUGGGACUGAGACACGGCCCAGACUCCUACGGGAGGCAGCAGUGGGGAAUCUUGCACAAUGCGCGAAAGCGUGAUGCAGCAACGCCGCGUGGGGGAAGAAGGCCUUCGGGUUGUAAACCCCUUUCAGUUGGGACGAAGCUUCGCCGGUGAAUAGCCGGCUGGAGUGACGGUACCUUCACAAGAAGCCCCGGCUAACUACGUGCCAGCCGCCGCCGUAACAC
rnacentral:rRNA from 1 species